rnacentral:tRNA from 1 species
GGGAUAGCUCAGUUUGGUAGAGCAGAUGAUUGUGGUUCAUCCUGUCGCGGGUUCGACUCCCGCUCCAGCG